rnacentral:rRNA from 1 species
GCAACGUAUCGGAUUACUGGGCGUAAGCGUGCGCAGGCUGUUUGGCAAGUCAGAUGUGAAAUCCCCGAGCUCAACUUGGGAACUGCGUUUGAAACUGCCAGACUAGAAUAGGUCAGAGGGGGGUAGAAUUCCACGUGUAGCAGUGAAAUGCGUAGAGAUGUGGAGGAAUACCAAUGGCGAAGGCAGCCCCCUGGGAUCAUAUUGACGCUCAUGCACGAAAGCGUGGGGAGCGAACAGGAUUAGAUACCCUGGUAGUCCACGCCCUAAACGAUGUCAACUAGUUGUUGGUGGAGUAAAAUCCAUGAGUAACGUAGCUAACGCGUGAAGUUGACCGCCUGGGGAGUACGGUCGCAAGAUUAAAACUCAAAUGAAUUGACGGGGGCCCGCACAAGCGGUGGAUUAUGUGGGAUUAAUUCGAUGCAACGCUAAAAACCUUACCUGGCCUUGACAUGUACGGAAACUGUCCGGAGAAUGGGAUUGG